GUUCGGCACCUUGAACAUCGGGGUGUCUAUGGCAGCGAUGCCAUACAAAAAAUAAAUCGGCUUAUAACGGUGGACUCCAUACGAGCCAACCAUGAAAAUAGCAUGGUAACAUAUAUGUAUGGACAAUACCGUGGGAAGUCUUACCUCAUUACAGAGAUCUGUCAUCGUUGAAUUUUUCCUUCCAUGAUAUACAAAUGAGGUAAUGACCCUGUAGAGACUUAUCCUUCAAUUUCUUGUGAAAAAGAGGAUAGAGUUAAUCAAGAAUUGAUUAGCUAAUACGCCGAUCUCCUGCUUUCAGAUCAGCAGGAUGAAGAUAUAGUCCGAUCCUACUAGCAAUAGUAGU
rnacentral:ribozyme from 1 species